ACCAUCAACAUUUUAGUGUUUAUACACCAUUGCUGACAGGGUCGGUUUUAAACUAAAUUUGCCUAUGUUGGAUUCCAAUGAAUCCUGGGAAUUGAACAAAUGAAACUAUUUAUCUUCUAAAUAUCCAGUGAGGUAUCAUCAAUUGAUAGAAAAGAAUAAACUGCCUUUCUUGCCUUAAAAGAAUUUGAUUUUACCGUGUGAUUUUGUUCAACUUGUGUGUGAAUAUUAUGUAAAUUAUGAAAUAUGUAGUUGUUUGAAUUUAAAUCAGGUGUUGUUGUGACAUUCCCAGAUUUUUUAAACACAUUUGUUGUUGUAUUUAUUCCGGUAUAUUUGUUAUCAGAGGAGCUCUUCAUACCACAUAUCAGUUGGAUUCUAUAUGUUUAUUUUAAUGUAUGUUUAUGUUUUAUUUAGAUUUUGUAUUAAAGGAGCUGACUUGUUGUGAUGGUACUGCAAAUAAAUCGUUUACAGCA